rnacentral:misc_RNA from 1 species
UUUCCGUAGGUGAACCUGCGGAAGGAUCAUUAUCGAUUCUCCUUUGAGUUGUGCUGGCCUUUUAGGCAUGUGCACGCUCUAAAUCUUAUCAUACACCUUGUGCACCUGUUUGUGUAGGUCUCUUGAGUGGGACCUAUGCUUUUAUUGAAAACACCCCUUGUAUGUUUUUGGAAUGGUCUGUAUAUGGUCUUUUCUGCCAUUUGGUGGAAUCGAAUAUAUUAUAACUUUCAGCAAUGGAUCUCUUGGUUCUCGCAUCGAUGAAGAACGCAGC